rnacentral:rRNA from 1 species
UACGUAGGGUGCGAGCGUUAAUCGGAAUUACUGGGCGUAAAGCGUGCGCAGGCGGUUGGUUAAGUCUGAUGUGAAAGCCCCGGGCUCAACUUGGGAAUGGCAUUGGAAACUGGCUGGCUAGAGUGCGGUAGGGGUGACUGGAAUUCCUGGUGUAGCGGUGGAAUGCGCAGAUAUCAGGAGGAACACCGAUGGCGAAGGCAGGUCACUGGGCCGCAACUGACGCUGAGGAGCGAAAGCAUGGGGAGCGAACAGG